UUAUUUGAGAGUUUGAUCCUGGCUCAGGACGAACGCUGGCGGCGUGCCUAAUACAUGCAAGUUGAGCGCUGAAGGUUGGUACUUGUACCAACUGGAUGAGCAGCGAACGGGUGAGUAACGCGUGGGGAAUCUGCCUUUGAGCGGGGGACAACAUUUGGAAACGAAUGCUAAUACCGCAUAAAAACUUUAAACACAAGUUUUAAGUUUGAAAGAUGCAAUUGCAUCACUCAAAGAUGAUCCCGCGUUGUAUUAGCUAGUUGGUGAGGUAAAGGCUCACCAAGGCGAUGAUACAUAGCCGACCUGAGAGG
rnacentral:rRNA from 1 species